GUGGGGAAUAUUGGGCAAUGGGCGAAAGCCUGACCCAGCAACGCCGCGUGAAGGAAGAAGGUCUUCGGAUCGUAAACUUCUAUCCUUGGUGAAGAUAAUGACGGUAGCCGAGAAGGAAGCCCCGGCUAACUACGUGCCAGCAGCCGCGGUAAUACGUAGGGGGCAAGCGUUGUCCGGAAUGAUUGGGCGUAAAGGGCGCGUAGGCGGCCUGGUAAGUCUGGACUGAAAGUCCUGCUUUUAAGGUGGGAAUUGCUUUGGAUACUGUCGGGCUUGAGUGCAGGAGAGGUAAGUGGAAUUCCCGGUGUAGCGGUGAAAUGCGUAGAGAUCGGGAGGAACACCAGUGGCGAAGGCGACUUACUGGACUGUAACUGACGCUGAGGCGCGAAAGUGUGGGGAGCAAACAGGAUUAGAAACCCUGGUAGUCC
rnacentral:rRNA from 1 species